UUUACAGUAUAGUGUCCCCGUCACUAUACUGAGGCAUUAAGUCCCACGAAGUUGCAGGAUGAGCGCCACCAACUGGCCCCCCAAACACCUGUUCCAGCAGCGAACUUAGUUUUUCCCAGGAGGUCUCCUAUCCAGAAGGAGGCUGUGUUGUGCUUCACAGAAGCAGUAGAUGUGUCACGAUUGCUGUGAAGCAACACUGUUUCGCUCCAGCGCCCCCUUGAGGAAGCUGAGCCAUUUUAGAUGAGGGGGAACUUGGAAAGGAGAAGGGCAGGGGAUAAUCUGGAGGGCAUGCAGUAUCUGGGCUGUCUCCCUCCACUCCGAAAUCAGCAAAAACACUCACUUCCCUCUCUGGGUGGACAGUUUCACCUGAACAAACAGCUUCAGAUAUUUCAGGACACACUAGGCAGGUCCCAGCAGCUAUGUGAGACCC